AGAUGAUACUGCCAGAAAUUAUGCUGCUUAUGAAGAGAUUAAACUGAGCCCUUUUGAUUCUGUGAGGUUAUUAAAGAAUAUAGUUUUCAAGUCAUGGUAAAAUCUUGAUUCAGCAAUACAUGAAGAUGAAUCAUGGUUUCCGUGGACAACUUUGAGAGGCAGUUGAAAGCUGGGGGUCGCUGUAGCCUGGAGCUUUAGCCCAGCAUGGCCUGAAAGUUGAUAAUUUUCUGCUACCACCUCCUGAGUACUGGGAUUAUAUGUACGCACGAACCUGCCUAUCUCUGCUACUAUUAACAGCUGCCUUUGCCUCUUCACGAAAUGAUGGCUGACCUAGGGUUUUUGACAUACUAAACAAUUGCUCUACCAUUGAACUGUAUCUCUGGCUCUAGGGAAGAUAUUUUUGAAAAAUGGUUUAGAGUUUGCCAGAUCCUAUGAGUGAGUGACCUCAAAAGAGAAGAGGAGGGGCCUCCUCAAUGAUAAAGGUUGAAAGGAACAGAGCCUGUUGGCCAUGGACUGAAACUACUGGAACUGUGAGUCAAAAGAAACUUUCCGUUCUUUUAAGCUGUCUGUCUCUGGUAUUUUGUCAUAGAGAUAAUAAGGUUUCUAGCCACAGUCAGGUUUCUAAUUAGGGGUAAAAUUAGAUGUUAAAAGCAUAA